rnacentral:rRNA from 1 species
ACGCUGGCGGCGUGCCUAAUACAUGCAAGUCGAACGGUCUUUCUAUGGAAGCUUGCUUCCACUGAGAAGAUAGUGGCGAACGGGUGAGUAACACGUGGGUAACCUGCCCAUAAGAGGGGGAUAACAUCCGGAAACGGUGCUAAUACCGCAUAGUUUUCUUGAUCGCAUGAUUGAGAAAGGAAAGACGGCCUUUGUGCUGUCGCUUAUGGAUGGACCCGCGGCGUAUUAGUUAGUUGGUGAGGUAACGGCUCACCAAGACGAUGAUACGUAGCCGACCUGAGAGGGUGAUCGGCCACAUUGGGACUGAGACACGGCCCAAACUCCUACGGGAGGCAGCAGUAGGGAAUCUUCCGCAAUGGACGAAAGUCUGACGGAGCAACGCCGCGUGAGUGAAAGAAGGUUUUCGGAUCGUAAAACUCUGUUGUCAGAGAAGAACAAGUUGGAGAGUAACUGCUCCAGCCUUGACGGUAUCUGACCAGAAAGCCACGGCUAACUACGUGCCAGCCGCCGC